UGUCAAAACACACUGAAACACUCCAAAACAGCUUAAAAACACUUAAAACAGCAAGGAACAACACUAAAAGUAAUGGGUGAUAAACUCCUACGAAUUUCAUGCAAAACAACUCCAAAACAGCUUAAAAACACUUAAAACAGCAAUGAACAACAUUAGAAGUAAUGAGUGAUAAACUCCUACGAAUUUCAUGCAAAACAAUGGUUACCCCCCCCCCCACACUUAAAUCAAACAUUGUCCUCAAUGUUUCAAGCAUAAACUCACAUAAAAACAAGCAAAUAAACAAACAACGAAUAAACAUGACAAGUAUAGCAAAGUAAAAAAAAACAGACAGAGUAGAGUUUAAGAACGCAAAUCUGGUUUUGGAGAUAGAUGAUCUUGUUGACUUUCCACAGCUUUGAUCUCGAACUAGUUUGGAAUUCUGAGCGAGGAAUAUCAGAGUUCCUUGGUUUCAAAUCAAACUCCUUCUGCUGGGUUGAUUUGAUUCUGCAGUCUGCAUUUUUCUCUGCUUGUUUCUUCUGCACGGCAGGCAGGCACGAGGUAGAGGUGUUGGUCUGUUUCUUUCUUCAAUCUUUCCAAGUGCCCACCUCUUAAUUACUUCCCCCUUGUCCCUAGCUGAGGAUGAAUUGGCAAAUUGUCUCCACAUGCUUCGAGGUAUCAUUUUCACUUCCCCUAUCUGUUCCCCAGGCAGAUGUGGUAGACGAAGAGGAAGCAUAAAAUGAUGAAGAUGAGUACUCGAGAGCAAGGCUAGGUAAGCAAUUAGGAAGGGGUUCCAGGCAGUCGGUUCCAGAUCGGAAGAUUGAUACCAAGUGCUGGCUGAUUGCUCUCUUUUUCCUUGUCCCAAAACAACGACAAGGAGAAGGACAGGGAGAAAGCAUGAUAUGAGAUACUCUUGCUUUCAACCUUCAUGAUAUGAAACACUUUUUCUUUGGAUGAGUUGUUUGCAGAGGUACCCCAAGGAAUAAGGAACACUGAGUGACUCGAGAGGGUUCGUUGGAAAGGCAUUUUUGGAGAAGAAGAAGGGUUAUGUAUGUCUGCCUUGAAAUGGAGGGUGAAGGGUGCCAUUUAUAGGAAUUAAUAACCAAUACUAUUAU
rnacentral:lncRNA from 1 species